rnacentral:rRNA from 1 species
UACAGAGGGGGCAAGCGUUGUUCGGAAUUACUGGGCGUAAAGGGCGCGUAGGCGGCCUGUUAAGUCGAACGUGAAAUCCCCGGGCUCAACCCGGGAACUGCGUCCGAUACUGGCAGGCUUGAAUCCGGGAGAGGGAUGUGGAAUUCCAGGUGUAGCGGUGAAAUGCGUAGAUAUCUGGAGGAACACCGGUGGCGAAGGCGGCAUCCUGGACCGAUACUGACGCUGAGGAGCGAAAGCCAGGGGAGCAAACGGG